CAUUAAAGAAUCGCCCCGUUUUUUGAAAUGGGUUCUAUUCCCAAACCGUGUAUACAUACCUUUGUUGCUUUGGCAGGCCGCCUUCUAGGCGUCGGCUCCGGCUGACUGCGCCUGCCAGAGGACCCAAACUCGUUUGUUUAGUGAUGUCUGAGUACUAUAUAAUAGUUAAAACUUUCAACAACGGAUCUCUUGGUUCUGGCAUCGAUGAAGAACGCAGCGAAAUGCGAUAAGUAAUGUGAAUUGCAGAAUUCAGUGAAUCAUCGAAUCUUUGAACGCACAUUGCGCCCCUUGGUAUUCCGAGGGGCAUGCCUGUUCGAGCGUCAUUAUAACCACUCAAGCCUCGGCUUGGUCUUGGGGUUCGCGGUAUCGCGGCCCUUAAAAUCAGUGGCGGUGCCGUCUGGCUCUAAGCGUAGUAAUUCUCUCGCUAUAGGGUCCCGGCGGUUACCUGCCAUAACCCCCCAUUCUUUACGGUUGACCUCGGAUCAGGUAGGGAUACCCGCUGAACUU
rnacentral:rRNA from 1 species